GUACUCUCACACUUUGGAUCCUUUGGAUUUGGAGCGGUGGACUUGGGUGUUGCUGCUUUGCGGCGGCUCACCCCAAAUGCAUGCGUGCAACUCCUGGUUGGACAUAGUACGGCGUGAUAAGUGUCUUCGCCGGCACCUCGUUAAGAGGGUGGCCGAUCGGGAGCUCUGUGCUUCAAACCGUCUUCGGACAACAACUGACA
rnacentral:misc_RNA from 1 species